rnacentral:rRNA from 1 species
UACGUAGGGUGCGAGCGUUGUCCGGAAUUAUUGGGCGUAAAGAGCUCGUCGGCGGUCUGUCGCGUCUGCUGUGAAAACUCAGGGCUUAACCCUGAGCUUGCAGUGGGUACGGGCAGACUAGAGUGCGGUAGGGGAGACUGGAAUUCCUGGUGUAGCGGUGAAAUGCGCAGAUAUCAGGAGGAACACCGGUGGCGAAGGCGGGUCUCUGGGCCAUAACUGACGCUGAGGAGCGAAAGCGUGGGGAGCGAACAGG